rnacentral:rRNA from 1 species
GACGAACGCUGGCGGCGUGCCUAAUACAUGCAAGUAGAACGCUGAAGGAGGAGCUUGCUCUUCUGGAUGAGUUGCGAACGGGUGAGUAACGCGUAGGUAACCUGCCUGGUAGCGGGGGAUAACUAUUGGAAACGAUAGCUAAUACCGCAUAAGAGUAGAUGUUGCAUGACAUUUACUUAAAAGGUGCAAUUGCAUCACUACCAGAUGGACCUGCGUUGUAUUAGCUAGUUGGUGGGGUAACGGCUUACCAAGGCGACGAUACAUAGCCGACCUGAGAGGGUGAUCGGCCACACUGGGACUGAGACAAGGCCCAGACUCCUACGGGAGGCAGCAGUAGGGAAUCUUCGGCAAUGGACGGAAGUCUGACCGAGCAACGCCGCGUGAGUGAAGAAGGGUGUCGGAUCGGAAAGAUCUGUUGUAAGAGAAGAACGAGUGUGAGAGUGGAAAGUUCACACUGUGACGGUAUCUUACCAGAAAGGGACGGCUAACUACGUG